AAAAAUUACAUACUUUCUUGCUUUUUUUUUUUUACUGUUUCUCAUUUUUUAUUCAACUAUAAUUAUUUUAUUAAACACUAAUUUUGUCUGUUUCUGUUGGUUUUAUCUCAUCUUAAACGUGAAAGUAUGUGCCUCACACUACUCACGUUAAUUUCUAAUUAAAUUUCCUUAUUGGAAAUGCUGAUAUCUUGGUAUAUACUAUAUAUAAUCAUGGGUAUAUAUAUAUUAGUGAAGAGAAAAUGUACUCUCAAACAUUGGUAAAUGGGUUCAAAUUUAAAAAGA
rnacentral:lncRNA from 1 species